rnacentral:rRNA from 1 species
GACGAACGCUGGCGGCGUGCUUAACACAUGCAAGUCGAACGAAGAGCGAUGGAAGCUUGCUUCUAUCAAUCUUAGUGGCGAACGGGUGAGUAACGCGUAAUCAACCUGCCCUUCAGAGGGGGACAACAGUUGGAAACGACUGCUAAUACCGCAUACGAUCUAACCUCGGCAUCGAGGAAAGAUGAAAGGUGGCCUCUAUUUAUAAGCUAUCACUGAAGGAGGGGAUUGCGUCUGAUUAGCUAGUUGGAGGGGUAACGGCCCACCAAGGCGAUGAUCAGUAGCCGGUCUGAGAGGAUGAACGGCCACAUUGGGACUGAGACACGGCCCAGACUCCUACGGGAGGCAGCAGUGGGGAAUCUUCCGCAAUGGACGAAAGUCUGACGGAGCAACGCCGCGUGAGUGAUGACGGCCUUCGGGUUGUAAAGCUCUGUUAAUCGGGACGAAAGGCCUUCUUGCGAACAGUUAGAAGGAUUGACGGUACCGGAAUAGAAAGCCACGGCUA